rnacentral:lncRNA from 1 species
AUCAGAUAAUAUAUUAUAUGAAUAUGUGAUCUCCUUAAACAUAUCAGCAGCUUUAGGGUCAUUUGCAUUCUUGUCAGGAUGAUACUUCAAAGCCAAUUUACGGUAAGCGGUUUUGAUUUCUUGAUCUGUGGAGCUAACAGAAACACCAAGAACCUCAUAUGGGUCUCUCCUUAAUUGAUUUUCUCCCUUAUUCUUCUCCGAUUUCGAUCUGUGACCCGGCAUUUUGAAAACCCUAAAAUGUUUUCAAGAUAA